rnacentral:rRNA from 1 species
GAUGAACGCUGGCGGCGUGCCUAAUACAUGCAAGUCGAGCGAAAAGAUGAGGAGCUUGCCCCCUUUACGUUAGCGGCGGACGGGUGAGUAACACGUGUGUAACCCUCCUAUAUGGCGGGGAUAAACUACUGAAACCGGAGCUUAAACCCGAUAAUAGAUUCAACCGCAAGGAUCAAGAGUGAAAGACGGCUUUGCAGUGACUUAGAGCUGGUGCGGCGCCGUAUUAGCUAGUGGGAAGGGUAACGGCUUACCAAGGCAACGAUUCGUAGCCGACCUGAGAGGGUGAUCGGCCACACUGGAACUGAGACACGGUCCAGACUCCUACGGGAGGCAGCAGUAGGGAAUAUUGCGCAAUGGGCGCAAGCCUGACGCAGCCACGCCGCGUGUGUGAUGAAGGUCUUCGGAUCGUAAAACACUUUUAUUAGGGAGGAACAAAUUUAUAAGUAUCUCUUCACUUCUUGACGUUACCUAAUCAGAAAGCCCCGGCUAACUACGUG